CAGGUGGUACGUGUUAAACUAAUCAUCUGUUGUCUUCAACAGUGAGCGGCCGGGUGCAGGAGCGAAGGAGGAUUGGGGCGACUGAAAAAUCAACCAAAGUGAAGCUUUACUCUGGAUCAGAGCGGUCAAGCGAACAUGGAUCCGGACCACUUGUCAACCGGCAGGUUUGGCUGCUGUCGACUUCCCUCAGAGACUGGCGUCAAGACACCGGUGGACACACCCCUCCGACUAUCAGAGGGCGCUGUGACGUCACAUUUUAUUUGCAUGCCCUGUCCAGUUGAGCACACUUUUCAGCAGGUGGAAAGAAGGAAAAAAAGACACACACAAAGGAGGUUGUUCCGGUUCCAGUUUGUGUCACUUUCUAGAAUACUAUGUGUGCAUUAUUCUUUUUUUUUUUUUUUACUAUGCAUUACUCAUGUAAUGCACACACACACAAACACACACACACACACAAACACAUUCUUGUACUUGUUCUUUUCUUGAGAAAAAAAAUGCCUACCUCUUUAGGACCACCCUUUCUAGAUAUAUAAAGUUUUGUAUUUACCACAUUAAAUAAUGUGUACAUACUAGGCAAAUAUAAAAAACUGGUUGUGAAAAAUGAGACUAGAAGAGUCAUAAUUUAGAAUG